CGGGCGAUUUAUUUGAUCUCCUGGGACGGACAACAUCGGGAAACUGAUGGGAAAACGUCUAAGUUGCAGUUUAUUGAUUGUGACGUAAACCUUUGUGUGCAGGAGAGUAAGAUGCCAUCCUAUCAGUUAGUAAGUAGGGUAAGGGCCUACUUAGACGAAGACGGGUACGGGGAAUGAGGGUUUGAUUCCGGAGAGGGAGCCUGAGAGAUGGCUACCAGGACCAAGGUCAGCAGCAGGCGCGAAAAUUAUCGAAGCCCGCCUAGGGGCGAUAGUGAGGAGACGUGUAUAC
rnacentral:rRNA from 1 species